UUAAAUUGAAGAGUUUGAUCAUGGCUCAGAUUGAACGCUGGCGGCAGGCCUAACACAUGCAAGUCGAACGGUAACAGGAAGAAGCUUGCUUCUU
rnacentral:rRNA from 13 species